GUGCCAGCCGCCGCGGUAAUACGUAGGGUCCGAGCGUUGUCCGGAAUUAUUGGGCGUAAAGAGCUCGUAGGCGGUUUGUCGCGUCUGCUGUGAAAACUAGAGGCUCAACCUCUAGCCUGCAGUGGGUACGGGCAGACUUGAGUGGUGUAGGGGAGACUGGAAUUCCUGGUGUAGCGGUGGAAUGCGCAGAUAUCAGGAGGAACACCGAUGGCGAAGGCAGGUCUCUGGGCACUUACUGACGCUGAGGAGCGAAAGCGUGGGGAGCGAACAGGAUUAGAAACCCCCGUAGUCC
rnacentral:rRNA from 1 species